rnacentral:lncRNA from 1 species
CAAGAAGGGAGUUAGCAGGGGUGUUCAUCUGAGUAAAUAAAAAUGAAGAUGAACAUUUGGUGAUCUUUACGAUAACUAUUAAAUAGUAUAAAUAAUAGAAUUAGCAACUAAAAACUUUACAGUUAGGAAAACUAAAUAUGGGCUGCCUAUUGAGUGGUUGUUGCAGGAGUAAACCAAGGUGAACAAGAUGCAGAUGCAAAAGGAUUGAGCAUCCAAGGGAAAUUCAACUAGAGAUGAUAUGGAGCUUGUCGGCUAUGUUUCCUAUGAAUAUAUCCCCUAGGACGCAGUGAGGACCGGCACUCAAGUGCCACCGACAGCUUAUAAUAUGGUCCCAAGUUAUUACU